rnacentral:rRNA from 1 species
UACAGAGGGUGCGAGCGUUAAUCGGAAUUACUGGGCGUAAAGCGCGCGUAGGCGGCUUUGCAAGUCGGGUGUGAAAUCCCCCAGGCUUAACCUGGGAACUGCGUCUGAUACUGGAUGGCUCGAGUGUGGGAGAGGAAUGCGGAAUUCCUGGUGUAGCGGUGAAAUGCGCAGAUAUCAGGAGGAACACCGGUGGCGAAGGCGGUUCUCUGGGCCUGUACUGACGCUGAGGAACGAAAGCGUGGGGAGCGAACAGG